rnacentral:rRNA from 1 species
AGAGUUUGAUCCUGGCUCAGGAUGAACGCUGGCGGCGUGCUUAACACAUGCAAGUCGAACGGGGAACAUUUUAUGGAAACUUCGGUGGAAAUAGCUUGUUCCUAGUGGCGGACGGGUGAGUAACGCGUGGGUAACCUGCCUCACACUGGGGGAUAACAGUCAGAAAUGACUGCUAAUACCGCAUAAGCGCACGGGAUUGCAUGAUCCAGUGUGAAAAACUCCGGUGGUGUGAGAUGGACCCGCGUUGGAUUAGCCAGUUGGCAGGGUAACGGCCUACCAAAGCGACGAUCCAUAGCCGGCCUGAGAGGGUGGACGGCCACAUUGGGACUGAGACACGGCCCAGACUCCUACGGGAGGCAGCAGUGGGGAAUAUUGCACAAUGGGGGAAACCCUGAUGCAGCGACGCCGCGUGAAGGAAGAAGUAUCUCGGUAUGUAAACUUCUAUCAGCAGGGAAGAAAAUGACGGUACCUGACUAAGAAGCCCCGGCUAACUACGUGCCAGCAGCCGCGGUAAUACGUAGGGGGCAAGCGUUAUCCGGAUUUACUGGGUGUAAAGGGAGCGUAGACGGAGCAGCAAGUCUGAUGUGAAAGGCGGGGGCUCAACCCCUGGACUGCAUUGGAAACUGUUGAUCUUGAGUACCGGAGAGGUAAGCGGAAUUCCUAGUGUAGCGGUGAAAUGCGUAGAUAUUAGGAGGAACACCAGUGGCGAAGGCGGCUUACUGGACGGUAACUGACGUUGAGGCUCGAAAGCGUGGGGAGCAAACAGGAUGAGAUACCCUGGUAGUCCACGCCGUAAACGAU